AUUGAACGCUGGCGGAAUGCUUUACACAUGCAAGUCGAACGGCAGCACGGACUUCGGUCUGGUGGCGAGUGGCGAACGGGUGAGUAAUGUAUCGGAACGUGCCCAGUCGUGGGGGAUAACGUAGUGAAAAUUACGCUAAUACCGCAUACGAUCUAUGGAUGAAAGCGGGGGAUCGCAAGACCUCGCGCGAUUGGAGCGGCCGAUAUCAGAUUAGGUAGUUGGUGGGGUAAAGGCCCACCAAGCCAAAGAUCUGUAGCUGGUCUGAGAGGACGAACAGCCACAAUGGAACUGAGACACGGUCCAGACUCCUACGGGAGGCAGCAGUGGGGAAUUUUGGACAAUGGGCGAAAGCCUGAUCCAGCCAUUCCGCGUGCAGGAUGAAGGCCCUCGGGUUGUAAACUGCUUUUGUACAGAACGAAAAGGUUUCUACUAAUACUAGGAGCUCAUGACGGUACUGUAAGAAUAAGCACCGGCUAACUACGUGCCAGCCGCCGCCGUAA
rnacentral:rRNA from 1 species